CAGCCGCCGCGGUAAUACGUAGGGUGCGAGCGUUAAUCGGAAUUACUGGGCGUAAAGCGUGCGCAGGCGGUUAUAUAAGACAGAGGUGAAAUCCCCGGGCUCAACCUGGGAACUGCCUUUGUGACUGCAUAGCUAGAGUACGGCAGAGGGGGAUGGAAUUCCGCGUGUAGCAGUGAAAUGCGUAGAUAUGCGGAGGAACACCGAUGGCGAAGGCAAUCCCCUGGGCCUGUACUGACGCUCAUGCACGAAAGCGUGGGGAGCAAACAGGAUUAGAUACCCCCGUAGUCCCUGUCUCUUAUAC
rnacentral:rRNA from 1 species